rnacentral:tRNA from 1 species
UCUAUUAAAGGAUAAUAGCCUUCCAUUGGUCUUAGGCACCAAAACUCUUGGUGCAAAUCCAAGUAGUAGAA